rnacentral:rRNA from 1 species
UGGGGAAUAUUGCACAAUGGGCGCAAGCCUGAUGCAGCCAUGCCGCGUGUAUGAAGAAGGCCUUCGGGUUGUAAAGUACUUUCAGCGGGGAGGAAGGUGUUGUGGUUAAUAACCACAGCAAUUGACGUUACCCGCAGAAGAAGCACCGGCUAACUCCGUGCCAGCAGCCGCGGUAAUACGGAGGGUGCAAGCGUUAAUCGGAAUUACUGGGCGUAAAGCGCACGCAGGCGGUCUGUCAAGUCGGAUGUGAAAUCCCCGGGCUCAACCUGGGAACUGCAUCCGAAACUGGCAGGCUUGAGUCUUGUAGAGGGGGGUAGAAUUCCAGUGUAGCGGUGAAAUGCGUAGAGAUCUGGAGGAAUACCGGUGGCGAAGGCGGCCCCCUGGACAAAGACUGACGCUCAGGUGCGAAAGCGUGGGGAGCAAACA